rnacentral:rRNA from 1 species
UACGUAGGGUGCAAGCGUUGUCCGGAAUUAUUGGGCGUAAAGAGCUCGUAGGCGGUUUGUCGCGUCUGCUGUGAAAUCCCGAGGCUCAACCUCGGGUCUGCAGUGGGUACGGGCAGACUAGAGUGUGGUAGAGGAGAGUGGAAUUCCUGGUGUAGCGGUGAAAUGCGCAGAUAUCAGGAAGAACACCCGUGGCUAAGGCGGCUCUCUAGUACGGUACUGACGCUGAGACGCGAAAGCGUGGGGAGCGAACAGG